rnacentral:siRNA from 1 species
AGUCUAAGAUUUUGAAUGGAUGCA